CAAGCAUCAGAGACAAUUCAGGUUUUGGCUUGAGUCACAGGAAGGCUGGCAAGGCCACUGUGCAAGGGGAGAGUGUGAGGCGGAUGCUUUGGGGGUGGAAGGGUUUUAGUCUGGGGUAUAUCUGGUUUGAGAUGUCAGUGAGCCACCCAAGUGGAGAGGUCAAGCAGGCAUCUGGACAUAUGAGUCUGGAGUUCAUGGAAAGAGGUCCAGACCAGACGUGUAAUUGUGGGGUUCUUAGUGAGCAGAUGAUUUAUAGAGCCCCAUGGCUGGACAGGCACAGCAGGGGAGUGAGUGCACCCAGGGAAGGGGAGAGAUCCCUGCCCCAGUGUGAGAUCAGGGGGAACCAGCAACGGAGACCGUGAGAAACAGCCAGCGAGGUGGAACAAGGUGGUGCUGGGAGGAAGUGAAGGAAGUGCUUUGAGAACGAGCAUACCAGCUCCUCGGUGCUGCUGGGAGGUGAGGAGGAUGGCGGCUGCAGAUUGACGUGGCCGGGCCGUCAGUGGAGUGCAGCACGAAGGCCGGUUGGAGAAGGAUCUACAGAGAAAAGUCAGGAGGAAAAGGAGCGGUGAGAACAUGGUACAUGCUGGCCAUGAGGAAGUCAUGUGGUCAAUAAGUGCCUUUGGCUGAAUAAUAACUAUUUCAUGAGCAUCUAUCUCGGGAUAAGCUACAAGAUCAUCGAAACCAAGAAGAGGGCAAGACAAGAAGAAAAACAUCUGAGAUCACAUCCAAGAGAAGGCGCCACUACAAUCGGGAUAAGGACCAUGACUGCACAGCCCAACCAGGGGUGACUCCAGGGCCCCCACACCAUGGGGAGCUGGGUGUGCUUGUCUUGGGGCCCCCUGAGGCUGAGCGAGUGAGUGCACCUCUCUGGCCGAAGGCGGCCCUCCUCAUGUUGCAGGCGAAUCUUCAUCCAGAUUAAGUGUGGCAUCUUCAUCCAGAUGAACUGCGAUUUUUUUUUUCAAAAGAAACCCCCCCUUUUUUCCGUGAGUUUUGGAAAGGGCACCCUUUAGUGACUCCCUCAACACAGCCUCCUCUGGGCUGGGCCCCUGAGAGCCUGAGUGACUCCACUCUCCCCCCAAAAGCCCAUCGAUGGUGAAAGGGGUUGGGGGGCCUUCCUGCUCUUGGGUUAGUAACGGGUGUCCUCUUGGCAGAGGGGCCCCCAGCUAUACCCUGUUACUGAAAGGCAGGCAGGAAAGGGAGGUUGGGUUCCAGGGCUGUGCCAGCACGCCCUCAGCUCUGCCUGAAAUGGGGGGCCAUCCCCCGUAAGCCUCAAAGAUCCCUGCGUGAGGAGACAGCUGUACUGGGAGGGGCUGGCCUGGCUCCGCUCUACUGGGCCUGGGACACCCAUCACAGUCUGUGAUCACAGGGAUCCUGGGGGACCCAGACGCCCCGGGGCCAAGCCCUGUCCCACCCCACACCGCCAGCGCCCUCUGCCCCGGCUGGACCUCACUCCUGCGGGUGAGUGUGAAACAGCGAAGCGUGACACUCUCGUGAAGGAACUUGGGUCCUUUGUUCCACAGGCUUCUCUGAUCCCUGGAUGUAAUAGUGAUAAUGAAAAUACAUGUUUAGAGAGGGUUUCACAAUUUACAAACUGCUUUUACAUAACUUCCUCCUUCAAGCCUCAGAAUAAAGGGCCAAGCGAGGCGGAAGCCCACUGCCUGGAUGGGGAAGCCAGGCAGGUGCUGCCAUCAGCACUGGGGAGGGAGGGGGGCACUCAAAUCCAGACCCCACCUGCUGCGGACAGAGGUGCAGCAGAGUGCGCAGCCCUCCCCUGGCAAGGGGGGCGAGCCGAGGGCCUUGGAGGGCUCCCGUUCCAACGCUUGGGAGCCUGCGGUGAGGAUGACAGUCACACUCUGCAGCCCACACACCUGGGUCAGAACACGUGGCCAGCAGGCAGUGGGCAACCAUGGGGCCCACCAAGGGCCCAGCUGGU